UAUUCAGAAAUAUAGUUUAAAUGACAGAAUAUUUGUACUAUACUAUAUUUGACUAUAUUUGAUACAGUACAAUAUACUACAUAUAACCCCUGUACAUAUAACCCCUUUAUGAAACAGCUUCAUGGCAAUUAUCCACAUGCUGUAGUUACGUUGUGUUUGAGAUAUACUUUAAGACGUGUUGGGAGCAGCAUAUCAUAUUUGGCAUUAAUUAUGCACUUGUGUGUUGAGCUAAUUGAGUCGAUCAGCUGCAGAAAUAACAUGAGGAGAGAGAGAUGCAUCUACAGUGAUAGCGAGGUGUGUGUGUGUGUGUGUGUUUGUGCGUGUGUGUGUGUUUACGCAUGCUAGUUUUCUAACAUGUAAAGACGAUUGUCUGUCUAUACAUGUACAUUUUAGGACUUUUUCUAUACAUUUAAUAUGAAUGAUAAUUCAUGAUAACAUAAUAUUAUUUAUUAUUAUUAUUAUUAUUAUUAAUAUUAUUAGUAGUAGUAGUAGUAGCAGUAGUAGUAGCAGUAGUAGUAGCAGUAGUAGUAGUUGUAGUAGUAGUAUUUAUAUUAGAUUGUUAUUAAUAUACCUAACUUUUUACUUUGGUAAGUAUAAUUUCUACAUUUUUGGACAUUGAACUCCACCAAAUGUAACCCUUCUCUCUAUUAUUUGUCUUUCAUUGUGCACACAUACAAACUAAUGGAAUCAAUCCUCACUGAACACAAAGCCAUUUAUUUGAAGGAAAACCCACACUUGAUAAAUUAUUUAAAGCAAUUGGGAUUACAAUAUGUUAUCAAAUCAGAGCAAACAAAGGCUUCUCUCUCUCUCUCUCUCUCUGAGUUCUCUGUGCUGUUGGCACGAGAGGAGUUGUGUACUAGCCAGUCUUCAGAGCCAGGGAGAGUCUGAUGCUAAAUAAAGAGAGAUUCCCCGCAAACUGUUUACGAUUCCAGAAUAAUUGUCUCAGACAGUGUUCCUGAAGUUACUUGUUGUUGCAUGCAGAGUCAGUCUACUGGAGUCAUUUUUUUUGUUCAAUGAUGAAGCGGGAAAGAUUGUAGAGAAAUAAUGAUAAGAAAAUGUUGAUUUGAACUCAAUUUGGUUUGAUUUAUGAUUCUGUAAUGCAAUCGUAAUUCAGUUUAAUAUAACUAAUAUGUGUAAAAAAAAAAAAAAACAUUAUUCACAAACAAACCAUUGUGAAAGUGUCUCCAAAACUUUAAGCAGCUGGCGCUUUAAUAUUUGUUUUUGUUGUGUGCGUUUAAGACAUUUAUAAAUGUUUAAUUCAUUUACACGGAAGAACAUCUAAUCAAUAAUAAUACAAAUAGUUGUUAAAAAAAACAACAAGUUAUAGUGAAAAGUUAUAGCAUUUUACAGUUGGCCAUUUUAAUCAGUUUACAUAUAUAUACUACAACUUGUAGCCUCUACUAUAAAAAAUAACAACACAUGUAAGUACGCAUAUAUAUUUUAUUCAUACCUUUAACCUGUUCCACAAAACGUAAAAACGUAUGUGUUUGCUAACAUUAUCACAACAUGAAGUACAUGCACACACCCCUGCACAACGGCACACUGGUAGAUAACUUGUGGUGUACAGAGAGCAUGUAUCUAAGAUGAGGAGUGUGUUGAGAGAGAGGUGGGUGGUUGAGCGGGUAAAAGAACAGUUCACAUUUCUCCCCUUCUCCUCCUCCUCCUCCUCUCCAGCUGGAGCCAAUAUGAUACUGACGUGGUUAGUUGUGGGUUGGUAAAGAUGAAGGAAGGAGGAGGGUGCAUAAUGUCACCCAUCCUGUCAUAAUCCUUAAACCCAAACCAUGCCACCCUCGGCAGCAGCUACAGCACAGGUGGGCACGGUAGUUGGUGGGCAGGCAAGCGGGUCACACGGGGCACAUGGGGCUCGGGUGGAAGCCAGGCAGGAAGUGAAAAGUGAAAGCCGCAGGGUGAAGGAGUAGCGGGGGCGUACGAUGUCGGCCAUGUUGUGUCAGACAGAGUGAGAGAGAGAGAGAGAGAGAGACGAGGGGAAAUUACGCUCAGGCAGUCAGGAAGUCACCUCACACAUCUCAUGGGACUGGCACAGACACACUGUCCCAAUUACGCUAACCCCACAAACAAAGGAAGAAGUUCUGCCACAUCGGGGACAGAUAUAUCUCGCCCCUUUCCUUUCCCUCCCCAUCCGUGCCUGCCCAGCACCAACCCAGCGAGACACCAACCCCCCACAAUCCUGCCAUCAGAUAAGAGGCACUCAAACGCACCGCAGACCCUCUGGAAGCGCAAGGUGUCACUUAUGAAAGCCUCGCUCCCUGCUGAAUAUGCUAACGUGGAUGAAAGGAUGGCAAAACAUAGGGUUCAUACGCAACUCGCUGAUUUCUUCGUCUUUUUCUUCCUCUGCUUCUUGCCUCCUCUCCUCUUUUAUUUAUUUCAAGUGCAGCUGUCUCCUCGGCGGGCUUCUAGGCCCAAACAGAGCCAUUCCACAAUGGAACAGGCGUCAAUUCGACGUCUAUUCCACGUUGGUUCCGCGUGAUUUCACUGAAAUCACGUGGAAACGACGUUGAUUCAACCAGUGUGUGCCCAGUGGGCUGUAUCGGCAGAGGAAGAUAUUUCUGACCCAGACGUGGCUCAGCUGUAUUCUACACGUAUGCCUCGGCUCAAUCAAACGCACAUUGCUGAAAGCUGUGGCACAUGGACAUUCUUUUUCCAUGUGUCCAACAACGGAAAUACAUUUUUGCUCUCAAGCUAAAUCUGCUGUUUCAGCUUAAUCUCAAUUGGAAAAACUUAAAUGAAUACCAAACAAAUUAGGCUACUCUUACUUGCAUGUUCAACCUUUGCUCUCACAAGAGCCAAGCCAUAAAUGGGUUUCAUGUAAUCAUCACGUUGAGCAUGUCACACAUUCAGAAGUGAAAUUGGAGGCAGGCGUCAACACGUACACUUCCGUGUACCUGGGUGUGUCACUAUGGCAAUAUGGAUAAGAAUGUUUCUAUACACAUUGUCUGUUGUCGGCGCAAUGUGGAUAAAUUAGCAAACCAACUUUAGGUGUCACUCUGAGGGAUCGUCACUCUAUACCCAUUAGAAUACAGCAGCGUCGUACAGCUGAUCCUCCCUUCCAUUCCCCUGCCUGUCUUCCUUUAUCCCCAUUCCACCAUCCAUCUGUCACUCUGCACAUUUUUGUUUCGUGUUUUUAGGUAUGUUUUCUCCCCCUUCCUUCCUCCUUCCUUCGUACGACAGUCUCAACAACAAACAAGCAGAACCUCCCCUCUUUCUCCCCUUUGAAGGGAACCUAUAACGUUACAGCGUGUGCUUAACACGUUUCUAAUGAGGAGCCGUUGUUGGGCUGGGAGACGUAGGUAGAUUAGUCAUUGUAUAACUGCUAGGGAGAUCACAUUCUCACAGGUACACCAUGCAUCAUGCCAGACUCCCCAGACAUCCCUGUCCCUGUCCCUGCCCGCAUACCAGCAACAAAAAAUGAAAAAGCUCUUUAUAAUUCACAAUGACUGAUUAGAAUAGUUUUGCUGAUGUCAUAAAAAAGCAUGCUCUGGUUGGCUGCCCUGUAAAGAAACAAUGCUGAAACAAGUUGAGGAGGAAGAAGGAAUGUAUAGUUUUGGAGCUCCAUAGUUCAUAGAUUACAGUUUGACAGAUGGCAUUGUUUUAAAAUAACCUUCUUUCUUUUUUUUCUUCGUACAUACUGUCAACCUCUUAUCCUUCCUGUGUCAAAGCUGGGGAAGAGGGGGAACUUCAGUGUUACUUUAGCGUUGCUUACAGCACUGUGAUACUAAGAAAAAAAUAAAUCAAAUAAAAACAUGUCAGUAUUCGCACCAUCUCAAAUGGCACCCUAUUCCCUAUAUAGUGCACUACCCAUUUUAUGAAAGGAAAUAGGUGGAACGGGGUACCAUUUGGGACACAGCAGGAUUUCCCUCCUUCAUCCUCUUUCGGUAUCUCAUUAAAGAGUGGCUUUUGAUCUUCAGCGCUGCCUUGUCCACCACGGGGUCAGUCCCUGUACAGGAACGGACAGCCCCGUCUCUCUCUCUCUCUCUCUACUCCCUGUACAGACUGAUUGCAUAGUGUGAUCUCUAGUGAAGAUAAAAGUGAACAUGGAGGAGAUGGUUGAAGUAUGUCUUAAUUGCGAUGGGAAACUGUCGUAAUUUUCCACCCCUGUGCAGCAAAUACAUGAAAUGGCUUAUUCCACACCUCAUCAUCCAAUGAAGAGCUAAAGGCUUAGUUUCAGGGCUGACACCGAUUGGAUGAUAGAUUCACUCGGAUUAAAUCCAGCUGUCAGAUAAUCUGAGUUAUUUCUUUGUGAUAAUAUUGGGUUUCUUUUGGUGGGUUUGUUUUUGUGGUUGCUUCUUUAUUUAACGAUCAAUUAUUGAUUUGGUUGAACAAUGAUUGUAAUUUGAUUAUAACAUAUUGUAAAUGAAUUAUUCUGGGCUAGUCACAAUAUUUUAUAAUAUUAUAUUGGUUGUAGAGACGAUAGCAUUGACACUCGUAGCGAUCAUAGUCAAGCACCCAUAUUUGGAGGUUCCAUCAUGCAGUUUCAAUACUUCCUGUUAUAAAUUAUUGAAAUCUAGGAGAAGACAUUUUAGCGCCUGCCUGUGAUAAUCACAGAUUAUAAUAUGCUAUAUUUUAUAACUGCUUUCUUACAAUUUAGAAAAAAGUGUGCAUCAAUGUAUUAAUUUCACGUGCUCAAACAAAAAUAUGAAAGCCACCCCUCCCCUUGACAUUACAUUUCACUUGCAACUGCAUAUUCACAGAUAAAGUGUGUUGUUCUUUUUCUCUCUCUUGUCUGCACUCAAACCUGAGAGAAUAUUACAUACAAAUGAGACCAAUGACCUAUAAAAUGAGGUAUGGCUACCCCCAGUCUCCACCUAUGGCAGAUCACUCUCAGCACUGUCCAAACUGACACACAUUCUUAAUUUGAUUGGCAUAUUCUAUUUAUUACCAUGCAACUGGCUCUUUGCCGUUAUUUGCUUUCAGAUUAUCCAAUAAGAAAUGAGCAGCAGCACCGGUGCCAUGUUGCAUGAUGUCACUGAUGCAGAUUGAACACCGAAAAUACCGUUUAGCAUGCCUACCUGACCGGGGUUAGAAGAGAUCAACUAGAAGGGAAGAUGUGGCGUUUGGCCGAGUGUGGUGGACUCUGAGAGAACAGGUGGACAUAAGCCAGAGGAGACAUGGAGAGCCAGCCCAAUCCCAGCCAGGAGAAACAUGCCAGGGCCAGCCAGACAGCGGUUGUAUCCCAAACGGCACCCUUCUCACGUUAUAGUGCACUUCUUUUGACCAGGGCCCAUAGGGCUCUGGUCAAAAAUAGUGCACUUUAAAGUGGUUAGGGUGACAUUUGAGACUCAACCAGAGCCAGCUUGGCCACAAACAGGGGUCAGGCAGGGCCAGGCGUCACAUAAAUCAACCUGACGUGUUCACCCAGGCCUGCCCACGCCCUGUGCCAGGGCCUACCCGCGGCCUGCACCCGUGCCCACCCCGCACCCACCAGGCCCACACCCCACUGGCUCCUGGGCUAUUUCCAUGCCUGGUUCAGGGGUGGAUUUGGAACGGGUCAGCUGAUCGGGUUCCAGGGCCCCGGUCAGAAACUCUUCAGGUGCCUUCUGCCUUUACAGUCUCCCAUGCCAAGGAGUGUGGAAGGAGGCUGGUCCUAACACAAAAGCAGACUAAACAGAGAGAUAGAGUGUGUUAUUGUUUGAGUGGGUCUCAGAGGUAUUUUGAUGACCGUGUGUAUUUGAAUGGCAACGUGGACCUAGCUAAGAAUUGUUAAUAAACUGCUCAGCUAGGAGAGCGGAGUAUUUUUAAGAUGAUAUUCGUCUGUCCUUUACAAGACAAUUCUGUAUUAAGGAUAACUGCGUAGACAUUCAAGCAAUAAUCUUCUCAUCUGUCCUAACAUAGCUAAUUAAUUAGCCUGUUGAUUUCUGUUUCAGAUAGCCAUGUGCAACUGAUAACGAUAACCUUAAAUCAGUUUGUUUGUUUAUCGAUCACUUUGCUACGGGCUUUUGAGGAUGCAAUGUGCCAUUAUUCAAUUAACGGAGCAAUAUCCUUUUGAUAAAUGGAAUUGUAUUUGAUGUAGUUACGUAUAGAUUUUUUUGCGGUUGUGUGGCUAAAUGAUGUACAUUAUGAUUAUAUGAAUAUUUCCAGAGAAGUGUUUAAUUGCUAUUUACUACCCAAUGUGGUUUUGUAGCAUUGCCGUAACUGAGGUGAGGAACGGUGAACAGUUAUUUCCUCAAAAUGGAUUAAAUCAGGAAACAGUGUGCUCUCCUUCCAAACCUUGUCACAUAAUAAUGUCAUAAUUCCUAAAGGACCUUUUAUCUAUUUUAGAAGUUAUCUUAGGGAAGUUUUCAUUAAUGCCUUUUCCAUUUUAUUCAAAAAUUCAUUAUGUUUCACUAAUCUCCAGAGUGGAUAAAAAAGACUUAAAUCCUUAAUAAAAAUCAUUUUCACCCAGUGUCUAUGAAACGUGCACUUGUUAAAUUUACACUCCAUGCCAAUAAACUAUUGAUAUCUUA